UACGGAGGGAGCUAGCGUUGUUCGGAAUUACUGGGCGUAAAGCGCGCGUAGGCGGCUUUGUAAGUUAGAGGUGAAAGCCCGGGGCUCAACCCCGGAAUUGCCUUUAAGACUGCAUCGCUUGAAUCCGGGAGAGGUGAGUGGAAUUCCCGGUGUAGCGGUGAAAUGCGCAGAUAUCGGGAAGAACACCCGUGGCGAAGGCGGCUCUCUGGGACGGUACUGACGCUGAGACGCGAAAGCGUGGGGAGCGAACAGG
rnacentral:rRNA from 1 species